GACGAACGCUGGCGGCGUGCUUAACACAUGCAAGUCGAGCGGUAAGGCCCUUUCGGGGUACACGAGCGGCGAACGGGUGAGUAACACGUGGGUGACCUGCCCUCAGCUCUGGGAUAAGCCUGGGAAACCGGGUCGUAAUACUGGAUAUGACUCCAUGACGCAUGUUGUGGGGUGGAAAGCCUUGUGCGGCUGAGGAUGGGCCCGCGGCCUAUCAGCUUGUUGGUGGGGGAUGGCCUACCAAGGCGACGACGGGUAGCCGGCCUGAGAGGGCGGACC
rnacentral:rRNA from 1 species